UGGGAUAAGUCCGUAGACAAAAAGUGCGGCUGCAGAAGCGAUUCUUGGUGAUUGUCCGAUUAAGAUAAGAAUUUGUUCGCUAAAGAUGUAAAUAACGGUUAGAAAAAAACCGGUUAUUGUUAGAAGAAUGGUUGAUCUUUGUAAAUAUAAUCCUAGCAUGUCAAAUUUUUCUGCUCCAAAUGCUUGUCCACACAGUGUCUCAACUGCACUUCCCAUACCCAACUGUAACAACAAUAAAUUAAAUUAGUUUUAAUAACAAUAAUAAUAAUAAUUUUUUUUUUGAAAAAACUAAAAUGAGAUAUAUUACCAUAACAGCCUCCCCAGCACAAAAUGUGCCAAGAGAGACUAUAAGAAUUUACAAAUAGUCAUAGAAACAAAAACAAAAUCAAAUCAUACAAAGCCCAAACAAUAAUAAUAAAAUUGUCAAAUGUUAAUAAUAAAUUACUUUUUUUACUAGAUACAAAUCAUGAUAUUGAUAAUAAAUGGUCCAUAAUAUAAUUGAUAUUUUAUUUUAUAAAAAUAUGUGGGUAGAAAAAAAUAUUGUGGAUAGUAUACAAAAAAUAUUGGCAAACUUUUAUUAUUAAAAAAUAAAUAAAUUUUGAGUAAAAAGAAAUUAUAAAAAAAAGUUUUCGAACCUUUACCAACGAAAAAUGGCUGUUGGUAAUACAUGGGUGUAGCUCUCAUACUUUUCCCAACGACAUAAAAUACUGUAGCUAUAGGCUAUUAGGAGGAAUUUCCGUUGAUAUAGCCAAAUAAAGACGACGGAACAAAAUGCUCUUUACAAUAACCAGUUGAGAUAGAUACUUACCAUGAGACCAUAAGCAAAGAUUUGGAUACCGGUGUUACCGAGAGAUGCGGCGGCGAGUUCAAGAGUCCCAAGGUGGCCGGAUAAGAUUUGAGUGGACAUAGACAUAACAUAGUUAAUGAGAUAAACAAAAACAGCAGGGGCAGCUAUGAUGAACAAUAGUUUAAGCUCAAUCCAGGAGGCAGAGCCGAUACGGUUGAAGUAUGGCACGGUGGUGUCAGAUAGUAUUCUCUCAAGCUCGCCAUCGGAUUCAUGCUGCUUCGACGGCGUAGCAAUACUAUGAGAGAAUAAAAGUGGUUCCUCAGCGACAUUUUUGUUGGAUGAAUCCAUUAAAUAUUAAUUAUCUGAAUGAAUUAUUGUUAUCAAACAGUUGUUUGAGACCUUAGAAAUGAUUAUAUAUAAUCUCAUAUUUGAUGGACCAGAGGCUGCUUUCUCACAUCAACUUGCAUAUCUCACACACACACACCCUAUAGCUAUAAUCAUUAAUCAGUAUAGUACCGUACGUUAAAUAUACCGUUUAUUCUUGUUCAAAACAAAAUAUUUGUUUAUAGAAAAUAAAUUGAUCCAAGUGGUAAAAAUUUUGGUCCUUUUAAGUAUGUGAUUACAUGUUUGAUUUCUGGCUCAUAUGUAAGGAGAAAAUUCGGUUGGGAGGUAAGAACUCACCUUGUGUGUUCCACAGAUUCUCGGACGGAGAUUAAUCAAUACUAACCGCGGUGAAAACUCUGCACCAAUUUCAUGAAAACCUUUUUUAAAAAAAUUAUGAUUUUUUUUUGUUUUCAUGACUAAAAUAAUGACUUACGUAAGUUCAAUAUGACUUUACAUUUUAAUUAUCCGUCGUUUUAAUCAAAUCGGUAUCAAUUAAGUUAUUUUUUAAAUUGAUGAAUAAUUUGCAAGUGUACAAAUAGCCGUCAAGUAGUAUAAAAAUCGUUCUUUCCACAGGGAUUGUUGUAAUUCAAAAACUAAUUGAAUUCAUAUUUAAACAUAUAAAUUUCAAUGUAAAAAUGAGGGGGAAUUUGUUGAUUCAAAUUUCGAUCACAAGAAUUGGAAAUAACUUAAGAUUAAAAUCAAUAGGAGAACAGCGAUUGGUCCUUUUGGUUCAUCUAAUUACUACUUCUCUUGGUAAUUUCAUGUAUAAUAACGAAUUUACUAAAUUUAGUUUCACGAUUAGAUUAAAUCAAAAAUAAUUAUGCCCAAUGUCUUGGUAACAUAAUUCUCUCCCUUGAUCAUCGAUCCCUAAUGUCUUAGGUAAUCUAUGAUCAAUUGAGGUUUACAACUUUUAAUCCUUUANNNNNNNNNNNNNNNNNNNNNNNNGUUAAUUGAUCAAUCGUUCCUAGAUCGAUCAUUCAUUCCUAUCGUCAUAGUAAAACAAAUAAUUGAAAACAUUACACAAUUGAUCAAGUUAUGCAAAGCAUUAAGAACAAGGAAUGAUUAAAGAAACUAACUUCGUAAUUCAUUAAUUAUAACAUAUGAUAAUCACAUAGUUCAAGAGAAAUAAUAAUAAGAAUCCCCUAAGGAUCAAUCAUGAGAAUUUAGUUACACAUAGUAAUAAAAAACAUUACAAUCAAAGAAAUGAAAGAAAGCAUGAUUACAAGAUGAUCUUGAUGUGUUUCCACCUUCAAAUCCUUGUCUCCAAGCUCCUUGAUCUUCAAAAGUUCUCAAAAUUGAUGUUUCCAAUGCUAAUUUUCGAUCCACUAUCUCAGAUCUGCGUUUUUCUUUUAUAACCGGAGUCAAUAAAUGAGAAUUUCGCCUCAGGCACAAGCAUUUUUGCCCCAGGCACAGAAUUUUCGCCUGAGGCACCAACAUUUUCGCCCCAGGCGAACAGGCAAACAGAGAGGUACUUUUUCUGGUGAAAUUUUCGCCUGAGGCACAUGAUUUUUCGCCUCAGGCGAAAUAGUAAACAGAGAGGUACUUUUUAACUGGAACUUUUCGCCUCAGGCACAGGAUUUUUCGCCUGGGGCGAAAAAAAUAGAAUAUUAGCUAUUUUUCUUCAUUCUUCAGCUACUUUCAUCCUUUGCAAAUAUCUUCAAACUAGUGCAUUAUUCUUCCAUAAAAUGAGUUACAAUUUUUCUAAAAACACUUGAAAUUGGUUUUAUUUUCAUGUAAUGACGCAUGUCAUCACAAAUCAUAAAAAAAAUCAUAUAUUUAUACUUUUAAAAAACAACAUAUGUCCUCAUUAAAAUUUUAAAUUAUUUUUUAAAUAUGGAUCAACUAUUUGUUAGAAGUGAUCUACUUUAAAAUUUUCCUUAUGGCUAUUGAUUAUAUAAUUUGAUAUUCUUGUUUGAUUGAGCCAACUGUGCACGUGCUUUCUCACCAACCUCCUUUCCAUGUCACACCCUAUAAUCAAUAGUAGCACCCCUCCAUUUCAAAAUAUAAAUAAAAAUAAGUUAAAGAAAUUUGAUAUACUUAGAUUAAAAUUGAAAAAAUAUAUUUCGAAGUUAUUUUUUAAAGCAAGAAAAUUUGAAAAAAGCAUUCGGAAAUAUUUAUUCAAAGAUAAAAAUAAAAAACCGAUAAAAUUCUUUGUUGAAACCAAAGUGUUUGAGAAAUAUGGCCUAGACCAAGACAUGUAGACACACUGGCCCAAGAUUUGACUUGAUUGGUCAUUAUCAUGAUGUUUUCUCUCUAGGCCUUCCGUGUAUUUUUUAUACCCUAAAUAUUUCAAUUUUGUCCUUGAUAAAAAUUUCGGUUCGCAGAAAUCGAAGUUUUUCUAGUUCAAAUUCAAGGAAAAUUCGGUUAAAAGAAACCAAAAUUUUUUCCAAGGCAAAAAAAAUUUGAUUUGUAACAACCAAAAUUUUUAUUGAAGUGCAAAAAAGUAAAAUCCGAGGGGGAAAAGAACCAUGGGAAGCCUAAAGAGAAAACAUUCAUUAUCAUUUCACGAAGGAACAAACCACAAAUCAAAAGAAAAUAUGGGGACUCAUGUAUGGUUGUGAUCAUCCUUAUUUCUUAGUCAGAUAAGAAUAAGAUGUUCUCUACUCACUUCACCCUUCUACUUCUACUUCUACUUCUGAGUGAUGUUAAUAUUUUGGAGUUGGACUGAGCAUAGAUCGGUUUUGGUUCAAAAAAUCGUUAAAUCGGAAGAAGAAAAUGAAUUGAACAUGUCAUUAUGAGGAAAAAAUUUAAGAAAAAAUGAUGUGCAUCGACCCAAUCCGAUUUACCAAACCAGCUGAAUCACAUAUUUUCACCAAUUUUGACCGAAUUUCGCCAAUUUUAUUGUAUAACCAAUUCAUUAUGCAAAUCGACUCAAUCAUACAACUGAUUUUUGAUCCAACUAAUCACUCGGAAUUGGUUUUUAAAACAUCGUAAAUAGUAAACCCGGCGAAUUAAUCAUUCUCAUUUGCUUCAAUUUAAAAAAUAGUCUAUUUUGUUUUUACUUUCUAACAACUACAUAAAACUAAUCCAAUUUUUUAGUUUAGUAGGGGCUCCUUUCUCUCCUCCCAUUUGUUCAACCUCUUGGCUGCUUCUUCAACCUAAAAAACAACAAAGUUUUUCAUUAGAAAAGUUACAACAACUCUCCCAUUUAAUUUAAAGCCACCAUAGUGACCUUAGCAAGUUGUCUUUUACCUCUUUAUUCCAAUUUGUUCUAAAUGUGACCCACAUUAAAAUAAUUGUCUGCAUAGUUGUUCCACCAAGCAUUCCAAGCCAUAUUCCCUAUCACAAAGAUCCCAUGUUAGUAAAAAUAUUAUGUAGUAUUUGUUUUUAAUUUUUUGAAAAAGGAAAAAUGAAAGAAUAUUCAAAAACACUAUUCCAAAAUACUACUCGGUGUUCAAAUACAUCGAUCAAUUUUCUUUGAUUAAUUUUUAUUUAUAUUUGAGAUCAGAUGUGUAUCUUGUAAAUUAUGAAACAUAUAUAUCAUACCUUAGCGCCAAAAUUGAAAUAAAAUCCGAGAACCGCACCCAAUGGUAUACCAACUAUAUAAUAGCAACCCACAUUCACAUAAGCAACAAAUGCUUGCCAUCCACAGCCAACAGCAACCCCUUCAUUUUAUUCAUGUUAAAAUUAAUAUAUGUAUAUUAUAUUUCAUUAGUUACUAAUUAACAAAAUUAAUCAAUAAUUAAGUAAUGAAAUUACCAGAUAAGACAGGUUGAAUGCCAUUGAGGACAAGAGAAAGAGAGAGGAGUGGACAAAGAUCUGAGACAGCAGCAGCAACAACUUCACCCUCUGUGAAGACAUAGCUAAUAACAUCUCUCAAUGCAAGCACAACCAAUGCUGCUAUUACUGAUAUUACAAAUGAUAUCAAUGUCACCACCACAACUGAAAAUGAUGCUGAUUUUGGAUUUUUUGCUCCUAGUUCAUUGCUCACUCUCACACUGCAUGUUAAUAAUUAAUUUGUCAGGUUAAUUAAAUAACUAUGAAGCAGUGACGCAAACAUGAACAUUAGACAUGACACCAACAUCAAUAUCAAUAUGUAGGAACCAAUAAUAAUUUUAUAAAUAUAAAUAAUUGUAUGCAAUUAUAAAUGUCAUGUCACAUAUUAGACUCUCGGACAUACUUUUAAUCUAAAGUGACAGUGCUGCUAGAUAGUUAAUUAAAUAAUAAACAAGUUAGUAAGAAUUUGUAAAUAAAUUAAAUAACUAGAAUCUAACCUUGCAGCUGCAUUGAAUCCAACUGAGAUCAUGAACACCCAUCCAGAAAUUGUGGUACUGCAAUCAUAAACAAUAUUAUUAAACAAACAAAUUGACAGUAAGCAGUUGGCAGAGCAAAUUGGACCACAAUAGAAAUGUUCAUAUUUUUUAGUUUGCCUAGGACAAAUUAAUGCCAAUAAAUAAAGGAUCUCGCUAACAAAUGUUUUUUUGGAGACACUUGUUAAGGAAAAAAAAUGAAAAAAAAAUGUGUUGAAAAAUCUAAAAUUUAAAUUUUUAUAAUGUUUAAUGUACAACUUUUUUAAAAAAUAUUUUUAUAUUUUAUUUCUUAUCUAAUGCCUCAAAACACUUGUUUGCAUUUACCUAAUUAUUAUUAUUAAACCUUCAAAUCUAAGAAUCUACUCAUGUGACAUUAGAAAAUCUAAGACUCUCAGGGGCAUGUGAAAAUAGUACAGUAUAAAUAGACAAAUCAUUGUACCCAAAAAAAAAUAAAAAAUAGACAAAUCAAUAUUCCAAUGGCUCCAUGCCCCCAUAACUUAAUAAUAAUAGGACAAGUUUGAUAAUUUGUGUCCCAAUUGAUGUUCUAGAAAUUUGCAUAACCAUAUAUCAUCAUUCAAUUCAAGUCAUGAUGGGGUAAAAUAGAUAAAUUAUGUAUCAACAAAAAAUGUCAUAACAUAGAAUGUGAAAUUUUGAGGUGUGAGCCUUUUUUUUCCUUAUCUUCUUUGUUUUUUUCCUAUUUGAUCUUAGCCUAUGCUAAUGGUAAUGAUAUGGAUAAGGAUUGAGUGACAGUACUGCAGGAAGAUUUAUAUAUAAGUAACAAAAAAUAAUGUAAGCUUUCUUGUCCAUAUAGAAUAAAGGACAAGAAGUUAUAUAUAAGUAACAACAAAUUUAUGUGGCACACUCAAGAAAAGGCUUAAAAAAAUUUACAUAAGGGUGCUAAUUAAGCUCUUCAAGUAACAAUAGCAUUUUGAUUCUUUGAAUGAUAAGUUUCCUUCUUUAGAGCUUAUUAGAGCUUUCAAAAAUUUAUGGCGCCACCAACCAACUACCUUAAUUUCAUUAUCUCACAUACAACUCGAACAUUAGUAGUGUUAUCGACACUUAUUUUAACACGACUCAUUCUCUUAUUAGGACUUAUUUUUAAAGUGGAGGAACCCAAAUAUUCGAUCGCAUCCAAUAAAAAAAUGAGUGUUAAAAAUAGAGUAUUAGAGUGAGUAUUAUACGAAAAAAGCAAAAAUUUAUAAGAUAAAAUAGUUAAACUCUCAAUUAAUGACGGAUUAACUUAAAAGAAAAGUAACAAAAACAAGAAGAAAAAUAUAAUUGAGAAACUUUACCAGAUAGAAAGAGAAUCAAGAGCGAUCUCAGGGUUAGGAAGAAGCCCAGCAAGCAAAACAAGAAUCUGAAAAUACCAAGAUUCAAGACACAACAUAACCGCCGAUNNNNNNNNNNNNNNNNNNNNNNNNNNNNNNNNNNNNNNNNNNNNNNNNNNNNNNNNNNNGAAAAUACCAAGCUUCAAGACACAACAUAACCGCCGAUGCCGCGGACAGUUUAAAAAACUCGGGCAACCCGGAAAAGGCCUCCAAACUAAAUCCUUUCCAUGUCCUCUUACACUUUUCACUCUUCAAAAUAUAAACAAACUGAGCAACAACAAUAAUCCACCAAGACAAACUCAAAACCAAUGAAGCACCCAAUAAGCCUAAACCAAUCUUAAACACAACAACCCAACUUAGUAUCAAAUGAACAACUAAAGUUGCUGCUGAAAUAUAAGCACUUGGUAGAACAAUGCUUUGUGCUUGAAGGAAUUUUUGGAUUGGAAAAUUGACUGCAUAAGCGAAUAUUUGUGGGAUAAGUCCGUAGACAAAAAGCGCGGCUGCAGAAGCGAUUCUUGGUGAUUGUCCGAUGAAUACUAGGAUUGGUUCACUUAAGACAUAAAUAACGGUUAGAAAAAAACCGGUUAUUGUUAGAAGAAUUGUUGAUCUUUGUAAAUAUAUUCCUAGCAUGUCGAAUUUUUCUGCUCCAAAUGCUUGUCCACAUAGUGUUUCAACUGCACUUCCCAUACCCAACU
rnacentral:lncRNA from 1 species